rnacentral:rRNA from 1 species
UACGUAGGUGGCAAGCGUUGUCCGGAUUUACUGGGCGUAAAGAGCGCGCAGGCGGUUGAUUAAGUCGAAUGUGAAAGCCCCCGGCUCAACUGGGGAGGGUCAUUCGAUACUGAUCGACUUGAAGGCAGGAGAGGGAAGUGGAAUUCCGGGUGUAGUGGUGAAAUGCGUAGAUAUCAGGAGGAACACCAAUGGCGAAGGCAGCUCGCUGGGACGUGACUGACGCUGAGACGCGAAAGCGUGGGGAGCAAACAGG